AACGAACGCUGGCGGCAGGCCUAACACAUGCAAGUCGAGCGAGACCUUCGGGUCUAGCGGCGGACGGGUGAGUAACGCGUGGGAACGUGCCCUUUUCUGCGGAAUAGCCUCGGGAAACUGAGAGUAAUACCGCAUACGCCCUUUUGGGGAAAGAUUUAUCGGAGAAGGAUCGGCCCGCGUUGGAUUAGGUAGUUGGUGGGGUAAUGGCCUACCAAGCCGAGGAUCCAUAGCUGGUUUGAGAGGAUGAUCAGCCACACUGGGACUGAGACACGGCCCAGACUCCUACGGGAGGCAGCAGUGGGGAAUCUUAGACAAUGGGGGCAACCCUGAUCUAGCCAUGCCGCGUGAGUGAUGAAGGCCUUAGGGUUGUAAAGCUCUUUCAGCUGGGAAGAUAAUGACGGUACCAGCAGAAGAAGCCCCGGCUAACUCCGUGCCAGCCGCCGCGGUAACAC
rnacentral:rRNA from 1 species